rnacentral:tRNA from 1 species
GGGCCGCUAGCUCAGUCGGUAGAGCAAUGCCCUUUUAAGGCAUGGGUCGAUGGUUCGAAUCCAUCGCGGCUCA